GACGAACGGCUGGCGGCGUGCCUAACACAUGCAAGUCGAACGGGGACUUAAUGGAAAGCGGGCUUCGGGCCAAUGGAAGUAAGUUUAGUGGCGAACGGGUGAGUAACGCGUGAGAAACCUGCCUUUCAGUGGGGGACAACAGUUGGAAACGACUGCUAAUACCGCAUAAUGUACUUUGGGGGCAUCCCCGAGGUACCAAAGCUUUAUGUGCUGAAAGAUGGUCUCGCGUCUGAUUAGCUAGAUGCGGGGUAACGGCCCACCAUGGCGACGAUCAGUAGCCGGUCUGAGAGGAUGAACGGCCACAUUGGGACUGAGAUACGGCCCAGACUCCUACGGGAGGCAGCAGUGGGGAAUAUUGGGCAAUGGGCGAAAGCCUGACCCAGCAACGCCGCGUGAAGGAAGAAGGCCCUCGGGUUGUAAACUUCUUUUACCAGGGACGAAGAAAGUGACGGUACCUGGAGAAAAGCAACGGCUAACUACGUG
rnacentral:rRNA from 1 species